rnacentral:lncRNA from 1 species
UCAUGACCAUGAAUAAAUAUUAUUCAAACAAAAUUGUGUUCUAUUACAACAAACAACUUAGAUAUCUGGGAAGUAAAACUUAAAAUCAAGAGAUAUAUUUACUAAACUCUAUCAUUUUAUAUUUACCUAAAGUACAAAAGACUGGAAUAAUGUUCCAAGAUUUGACAAUAAGAGCACAUAGACAAAACCAUUAAUUAUAAGAUCGACAUUACAAAUAGCCUAAAAGCACAUAUACAUCUAUUUGUGCACAUGGUAGAUGUUGAUAUGACUCCAACAACCAGUCACUGAAGCAAAUUCCAUUGUUUUUUAUUUUCUCCGAGAGCCUUUAUUGUAUCACCUCCUUGAGCACAUAUCACAAUCUUUAAUCUAUUGUGCAUGAUAUUGACAGACUCCUAGCUUCCUUUUUGACAACCAGACACGUAUUUGGUUCGUCUAGCAGCAUUUGGCACCAAGCAUCAAAGGUUACUCAUCUUUGUAGCAAUCUUACAUGACAUCACUUUGGCACAAUAUCAGUAUUAUGCGUCUCUAUUGCAUCACCUACACCAAUACAAUUAUACACUUAACGAACAUAUUAGAAGGAAAAAAAAUCACUCACAAAACACCCGCGAAAAAGAUAAAUUAAUGAUAAAACUAGUACUAGAAUAUAUGCACAGUAGAAAACAAAAAGAUCAAUUAAAAUAGUAAUAGAAUAUAUUGACUUCCAAAAAAUUCAGAAAACUAUACGUUAAAAAAUUUGUUCAUGUAAAACUAGGAGCAACUAACAAUUAUCAUGGUCAAAGAAGUGAUGUUUAAUGUGCUUAUUUUUCUGAGAAGUCGUGAAUUUUUCUCACCAGCUAGAUCUGAAACUUGCUUCUCUUGUACCUUUCUUCAGUUUCUUGUCUAGAAUAAAAAGAAAAUUAAAGACCAAAAGAGACACAGAGACCCAGAAAGGGAAAAACGAAUACGGUUCAAUGAGACUAUGAGAGACAUAAAUGGUCAAAUUUCAAAGAUAGAUAGGCAAAAGAAGGUAUUUUAAGAUAGGUAAAAGGAGACACUUUCAUCUCUUUCUCCAACAGUGCCAACAAUGCCAAAGCAGCGGCACCCUUGGUGGUGGGUGGAAAAAGAUAAAGAUUGAAGACGGAGCGUCAUUCAGAA